rnacentral:rRNA from 1 species
GUGGGGAAUAUUGGACAAUGGGCGAAAGCUUGAUCCAGCCAUGCCGCGUGUGUGAAGAAGGUCUUCGGAUUGUAAAGCACUUUAAGUUGGGAGGAAGGGUAGUAACCUAAUACGUUGCUACUUUGACGUUACCGACAGAAUAAGCACCGGCUAACUUCGUGCCAGCAGCCGCGGUAAUACGAAGGGUGCAAGCGUUAAUCGGAAUUACUGGGCGUAAAGCGCGCGUAGGUGGUUCAGUAAGUUGGAAGUGAAAUCCCCGGGCUCAACCUGGGAACUGCUUUCAAAACUGCUGAGCUAGAGUACGGUAGAGGGUGGUGGAAUUUCCUGUGUAGCGGUGAAAUGCGUAGAUAUAGGAAGGAACACCAGUGGCGAAGGCGACCACCUGGACUGAUACUGACACUGAGGUGCGAAAGCGUGGGGAGCAAACAGGAUUAGAAACCCGGGUAGUCC